CCGGCCGUGCCCGGCCCCGCCUGGGCUUUGCUUUCCCGAGGCUGCGCUGAGGGAAAACUGAACACGGGGCUGGCGAUGUACGCGGGUCUCCUCGGCUCGUGGUGCCCUAUGCCGUGGCUCAGGAGCCGUACUGUCUACAGUAUUGUUGGGAAGAACGUUUGCAAGCGUGCAAAAUUGUCAUAGCUUCGUGCUUGGAUUACUUAAUGUUCAGGAGAGGGUGCGGGGAGAAGCCCCCGUGCUAGAUGCUGUGACGGCACGAUACAAACGCUUGCUGCGUGCCGCGUUAACGGUUUCAGAAGCUGAUUUAAAACAUAAAGGUCAAAUUCUUCCCUCGAUUUCACCUGAGCAGCAAAAGUGAGGCUGUGAAGGUUUUAUCUUAAGUAGCACAGUCAUUACCGUGUGAUCAAGUGAGGAAAGGGCCGAGCAGAUAGCUACGCUGGCGUGCUGAAUGGCUCACCGCAGCACCGUGCACACAGUUUAUUGUUUUCUUAGCAACCGCGACGCGGUGGACAUCUUACAGCCAAAAUAGCCCUGGCUCCAGCUCCCAGAAGAUUACAGCCUGGUCAGUGCGGGAAAAUCCCUGUGACUUGGUGUAGGGACCGUUGCCAUCAGAUUAGUGAAUGCUUAAGGUAAUAAAUCAGCUGCUGAAAUAAGGUUAAAGAAGGCAAGGAGAUAGGGAGCUGAUGGAAAGUAAUAAAUGGACGUAGAAAUCAGGUAAAGGAAAGAAGGUCUCUGGGCUGAGCUGAGCAGUUGCAUGGACAAUAAAAUACUACACAGCAACUGAGAAACAUCUUUUCCUUAUAAUGUCCACUUUGUGAGGCUACUCAACUGCGACAAGAGAAACACAUAACUGCUCUAAAGGGUCUGGCUCCAGGAAAUAGAUGUUUUUUUUCCUAUGAAAGCAAGUGCAUGUUUUCUUAUUUUCAGGAGCUAAUUAUAACUCCAGUCCAUGCUCUUGGGAUGGCUUUGACCGCUUUGCCCUGAUAACUGCAGUUUAAAGUGUUAAUGUGGCAGUUAAAGAUCACGGAGUGCUUGCAGCGCUCUCAGCCUGUCCCUCAGAACAGCACCGAAAUAGCCGCGUCAGUUCCAAUCGUCAGUCUGGUUGUUAGAAGCGAUGCUUCCAUGGAUGUGGCAGGUGAACAAAGAAAAGUGUCCUUGCAAUGAAAACCCCAAAGUAGGAGCAGGCCUGUGGUCCUCUCUGGAAAUAAACAACACACUUGCCAUGCUGAGUCAUGUAGAUCUGUCACCAAAGAAAAGAGCCCUGAGUGAGAGCUGAACUAAUGGCAGGAUUCAGAGACUUGAAUCCAAGAGCACAGCCUUGUCAACUGAAACUUGUGUGUGCUGCAACAACUCGUGAAAAGCACUGAAAUUGAAGAAGCUACUUGCAAAUUAUGCUGCUGCUCUGAUGCAUUUGUACAUCAAGGUGGGAUAGCAGGGUCUCCAACGGUUCAACCAACCAGGAUGUCCUUGUGACUGUAGACAGUGCUGUUCCUCUCACCACAAAGUUAAGCAAUGGAGGUAACCUGCCACAGGAUGCAAAAGCUCCUUACAGGUAAAACAUAAAAGAAAUGCAUGAACAGAUGUUAAGAAAUAUGUAGAAAGUUUAUAGAACUCAGUAGCAUAUAUUCUGCAACUACUGAAACACUGAACAAAACGAGGGCUUUUGCUUCUUGUGUUUUGUGAAAAUGUUAUUUUCAGCAUUUUCCUGAAUGAAAAAAAAAGUCGUAUGUUUUCUAUUAAACAUUGCUGGUAAAUGGUUGUGAAAUAUACCAGCAGAUUUAAACAUUCUAGUCAUAGCUUCAAUUUCCUUUCUUUUUCCUCCUCUUUUUUGGUAUUUUCCAUAGAAACAUUUGAAAGAUUUUGCUAUAUUAAUUUUGUUUUAAGGAAAAAACUUGUGUGCUUACUCAGUCUGUAUUUAUGCCAAACAGUGCAUUUCAUGAGGGGGGAAGAGUGGUACACCUAUCUGCUUGACAGGCUAGAGGGAAAUGUUUUUAACAACUAUAAAAAAAACUACUGUAAAGCGUGUUAUAAAUCAAUGCUCCCAAGGGAGAUUCUUAUCAAAGCACUUAGUUGUUACAAACACAUCAAUCUUAAGUACAGUUGGAAAACUAAAAUAACUUCUUUUUUAAUUAACUGUUGCCAACGUGUAGCACACAUCACUCCAUGCAAGGAAACACAAGAAAUAUUGUCCACUGAAAUGCCAAGCUCUUCUUGUCACUUCUUCCAGGAAGAGAUCAGUAACAUUUCUGGAUACGAAACCGCUGAGCUGCUUUGUAGCCACUGAUAGUGAAUUUGGGAGUUUGAGUCUUCAGAAGUUGCAGAUACUGGGCAGCAAUGACAGCACGAGAGUAGCUAGAAAGAAGUCUGUUUCCUCCCAGGAAGUAGAUGUGUGCGUGCAGGCCCGAGUAUGUGCAGAGCAGCAGAGCCUGAGCCACACAAACUGUGUUGGUCUGCUGGCUCAAACACAAGGCAGGUUACUCCAGCAUGCAACACAGCCAGCGACCCUAGAGAGGUUUUGUCACAGUGUUUGUAGAUUAAGAGGAAUUAACGCCAUUCAGUCCUCCUGGAGGACUCUUCUCAGAGCCUAGGAGUGUGAAACAGAUGUCUGCUUCUGGCAUUUUUCCUGGACUUGAAUGCGACUGUAUUCCAUGCAGCUGCUCUAAAGAGCCAUAUUUUGAUGAAAUGUGUCCUAUUACAAAGCACUGGAGAGACUAAAGUUAGGGGGCUUUUUUGAGGGGGGAGGAAAUGGGGAAAGAGCAGUCUGUGAAGAAACACUUGUAACAAAUUAAUGUUUUCUUCUCCCACUUACUCUUCGUACAUCAGGCCCUAGAUGGGGAUCAUUAAAGCUGGAAGAUUUUUGCUGAAAGAGGCAGAACAUCAGCAUUCAGAAAGUACUCAAGCUGAGGGAGCCCAUACAGAAGGAGCUGCGAUCUUCAGCCCAGUAACAACGGUUUGUCCCUUCUGUUGUUUCUCUCACCUAAUUAAUGUAACUUCCACAUCAUUUAAAGAAACAUACCAGAUCCAAAGGUAUGAAAUUAACCAUUCUUAAGUAGCAGGAGUCAGACCUUGGUUUGACACUGUAAUAAAGUCCCUUUACUGAAAACUCACCUCUGAAAUAUGUACUAUGAACAACCUAACCACAUACUGUUGCUUCUCUGAAAAAGUAAGCAGUGCAAAGUGCACCCAUAGGAUUACUGCGUAACAUGGCUUGUAAGACAAGUGCUAACAUCCAAUAAAUUAUUUGUUACUAUGUAGUGGUGAAUGCUAAGAAGCAGAUUAAAUAAAGUAUAAUUUACUAAUUCCUUCUCUGUUUCAUACAUAGGUUAAAGCACAUCAAACAUCUGUUUGCAGCCUACUCAUCUUUCUAUUACCCCCCAUAUUUGCAUUCCUGUCUUCCACAAAAUCUGGAAGGACAAGUUUCAUUUUACUAUUAAAAAUAAAAAAAAACCAAA